GGGAAGCCGAAUCCCGCGGGAAGCCGAAUCCCGCGGGAAGCCGAAUCCCGCGGGAAGCCGAAUCCCCCUGCGCGUCAAAGAAAUUACGUUGUACAAAGAUGAGUUGACCCCUGAACAUCAGUGUCCGCCUGGCAAAAUCAAACCGGGUCUGCCUCUUUCUACCCACGACUAGAGAAAUUUCCGUAAUCUUCAAACCACCUAGUGUAUUUCUCACGCAAAUUUGGAGUCUGACUGAGAAGAAACCUCACCAUUGGAUUAAACAAAACUUGAAUUAAUUGGGAGUUGUGCUAAAUUUAAACAUAAGUUUAAUAUAUGCAUAAUGUAAAUUGUAUAUUUCCUUGAUUAACGUGUCUAACUUUCUUGAACCUGUGAUUUCAAAACCUAGAAUAGUCCCUCUCUAAAGGCAGAAAUUUUGUAUGGUUAAGACCCUAAAAUCUUGUGUAAGCACAGUCUACUGGAUCUCAAUGACCAAGAAUUUUUUUCAGAAAUUCAAACAUAUGUAUAUACUUAUGCAAUAAAUAUU